AGACGUGUAGCUCAGUUGGUAGAGCGCCUGACUUUUAAUCAGGAGUUCGCAGGUUCGAGCCCGGUCACGUCAA
rnacentral:tRNA from 1 species